GACGAACGCUGGCGGCGUGCUUAACACAUGCAAGUCGAACGGAAAGGCCCUGCUUUUGUGGGGUGCUCGAGUGGCGAACGGGUGAGUAACACGUGAGUAACCUGCCCUUGACUUUGGGAUAACUUCAGGAAACUGGGGCUAAUACCGGAUAGGAGCUCCUGCUGCAUGGUGGGGGUUGGAACGUUUCGGCGGUUGGGGAUGGACUCGCGGCUUAUGAGCUUGUUGGUGGGGUAGUGGCUUACCCAGGCUUUGACGGGUAGCCGGCCUGAGAGGGUGACCGGCCACAAUGGUACUGAGAUACGGCCCAGAGUCCUACGGGAGGCAGCGGUGGGGAAUAUGGCACAAUGAGCGGAAGCCUGAUGCGGCAACGCCGCGUGCGGGAUGACGGCCUGCUGGUUGUAAACCGCUUUCGCCUGUGACGAAGCGUGAGUGACGGUAAUGGGUAAAGAAGCACCGGCUAACUACGUG
rnacentral:rRNA from 1 species